ensembl:miRNA
GACUGGGUUGGUUUUUGUCUUUGGUUAUCUAGCUGUAUGAGUGUAUGUGAUAUCAUAAAGCUAGAGAACCGAAUGUAAAAACUGAUUCACUAUUCUCCA